CGUCGCUGGGCUUCCAAAAUGUUGUAAAUGACUUUUUUGGCUAAAAAUACUUUUUGACACCAAUGGUCUGGGCAGGAGAAAAUCUUUGGUAUUACAAAAUAGCAAACAGUUAGACCAAUCAAAACGUUUGAAAUAAGACAUAUUACAAAAUUGCCAAUGUCAGUUGUUUGUAAAGUUUGCUUCAAAAAUGUUAUAUGAAAACUUGAAAAUCAUUGUAUAUUAACGGCUUUGGGAAUUAAAUAAUUGUACAUUUCUUUAUUUCUGUGAAAAUAAUUUAAGUU
rnacentral:lncRNA from 1 species